AUUGAACGCUGGCGGCAGGCCUAACACAUGCAAGUCGAGAGAGCGGCGGACGGGUGAGUAAUGUCUGGGAAACGGCCUGAGGGAGGGGGAUAACUACAGGAAACGGUAGCUAAUACCGCAUACCAUCAGAAGUGCCCAGAUGGGAUGAGCUAGUAGUUGGGGUAAUGGCUCACCUAGGCGACGAUCCCUAGCUGUUCUGAGAGGAUGACCCGCCACAUUGGAACUGGUACACGGUCCAGCCUACUACGGGAGGCAGCAUUGGGGAAUAUUGCACAAUGGGCGCAAGCCUGAUGCAGCCAUGCCGCGGGUGUGAAGAAGGCCUGCGGGUUGUAAAGCACUUUCAGCGGGGAGGCGUUACCCGCAGAAGAAGCACCGGCUAACUCCGUGCCAGCAGCCGCGGUAAUAC
rnacentral:rRNA from 1 species